UUAAUAAUCAAAUCAAAUUCGCCAGUCAACCAAAAUAAAACAACUUUACAAGCCAACAAAAUACAAAAACAAAGAAGAGUUUAUCAAAUCACAAACCAAAUAUAACUAAACUUUAUUAUUGUUAAACAAAACCAAAAAGAGAAACUAAAAAAUUAAAAAAAAAACCAAAAAACAACAACAGAAACAACAUAAGCGUGUGUGUUUAAAUACUGGAAAACACAGAUAAGAUAAAUUUACAUACACACGCACAACAACAACAACGACAACAAAAAAAAACCUUAUAAUAUGUACA